AACUCUUGCAGUUCUGUGUAUCAGUCGGAGCUUCGAUGUGUCCUUGUGACAGUUGGGAACAAACCAAAACCAACCUUUGUUAAUGUUCUAAAGAUGAAGAUCUCUACUUCGCUCUCACUGAAGGACAAUGCUGACAUGAUCGGACAAAUGAUAAAAGAAGAACUGAUAAGAAGAGGUUUUCCACCGGGUAUAACUGUACGCCUACUGAGCAACGGCUCAAUAGUAGAUCAAGGAUAGCCGAUCUUAACCUGGAGAAUCUCGGAGCCCACUUCAUCCACUGAUAUCAUAAUCUUUUUUAUGAUAAUAAACCUCAUAUAAUAAGCUCAUAUGCGUUCAUCCAAUAUAUGUUCAGUCUAACAUUUCAGUCACUAAAUCCAUAAGGAUUCAUAUUUCCACACACAUAUACAAUAUGUCAAUUGUUUUAAUCUAAAAUGUUCAGAAUUAUCUUUAGAAAUUGAAUUAAUGUUAUCAGAUCCUGA